GCUUGUCUCAAAGAUUAAGCCAUGCAUGUCUAAGUAUAAACGACUUUAUACUGUGAAACUGCGAAUGGCUCAUUAUAUCAGUUAUAGUUUAUUUGAUGGUCCUUGCUACUUGGAUAACCGUAGUAAUUCUAGAGCUAAUACAUGCACCCAUGCCCGACUUUGUGGAAGGGUUGUGUUUAUUAGUUACAGAACCAACCCAGGCUCUGCCUGGUCUUGUGGUGAUUCAUAAUAUCCGAACGAAUCGUAUGGCAUCAGCUGGCGAUGAAUCAUUCAAGUUUCUGACCUAUCAGCUUCCGACGGUAGGGUAUUGGCCUACCGUGGCAAUGACGGGUAACGGAGAAUUAGGGUUCGAUUCCGGAGAGGGAGCCUGAGAAACGGCUACCACAUCUAAGGAAGGCAGCAGG
rnacentral:rRNA from 1 species